ACGGGAGGCAGCAGCUAAGAAUAUUCCGCAAUGGACGAAAGUCUGACGGAGCGACGCCGCGUGGAUGAUGACGUUCGGAAGAUUGUAAAAUCCUUUUAUAACUGAGGAAUAAGCAUUAUCAGAGAAAGGUAGUGCGGUGCCUGUAGGUUAUGAAUAAGCAACGGCUAAUUACGUGCCAGCAGCCGCGGUAACACGUAAGUUGCGAGCGUUGUUCGGAAUUAUUGGGAGUAAAGGGCAUGUAGGCGGUUUUGCAAGCUGGAUGUGAAAGGCAGGAGCUUAACUCCUGGAAUGCGUUGAGAACUGCAUGACUAGGGUCACUGAGGGGCAAUCAGAAUUCCUGGUGUAGGGGUGAAAUCUGUAGAUAUCAGGAAGAAUACCAAUGGCGAAGGCAGGUUACCAGCAGAUGCCUGACGCUGAGGUGCGAAGGUGCGGGGAGCAAACAGGAUUAGAUACCCUGGUA
rnacentral:rRNA from 1 species